CGCACAACUAUAUUAUUUAAAAGUGACAAUUUUCCAACUGACACAAACAAUAAACUAAAUAAAAACAGAUAAACAUUCGAGAUGAAACGUACCUCCAUUGAUAAAGAAGAUAAUGUAUUCGAGAUGGCGCAGUGUGAACCAAUUUCAGGUCGACGCCCUAUGCAAUCAAGUCAAUUAGAUUCAAGUUUAUCGUAAUUACACAUAUUAUUGUAAUAAUGAAAAAGCAUUGUAUUUGUUAUAAAAUUACGUUCCAUUCAAUUUAGCCAAUACUCAGUUUUCAGAAUUUUUGUGGAUAAAACGAAAGAGAUCGCUUUUAGCUAUAAGAACGCCCAUUGUACAAUUAUAGGUACCUGCCUGUUGACUGAUUUUGAAUGUUAAUUGUGUUUUGGUGUACAAUAAAGCUUUCUCUGUUUCCAUUUUACAAAAAAUAAAUAAACCAACAAACAAGUA